AUGAACGCUGGCGGCGUGCCUAAUACAUGCCAGUCGAGCGAACAGACGAGGAGCUUGCUCCUCUGACGUUAGCGGCGGACGGGUGAGUAACACGUGGAUAACCUACCUAUAAGACUGGGAUAACUUCGGGAAACCGGAGCUAAUACCGGAUAAUAUAUUGAACCGCAUGGUUCAAUAGUGAAAGACGGUUUUGCUGUCACUUAUAGAUGGAUCCGCGCCGCAUUAGCUAGUUGGUAAGGUAACGGCUUACCAAGGCAACGAUGCGUAGCCGACCUGAGAGGGUAAUCGGCCACACUGGAACUGAGACACGGUCCAGACUCCUACGGGAGGCAGCAGUAGGGAAUCUUCCGCAAUGGGCGAAAGCCUGACGGAGCAACGCCGCGUGAGUGAUGAAGGUCUUCGGAUCGUAAAACUCUGUUAUUAGGGAAGAACAAAUGUGUAAGUAACUAUGCACGUCUUGACGGUACCUAAUCAGAAAGCCACGGCUAACUACGUG
rnacentral:rRNA from 1 species